rnacentral:snRNA from 1 species
GUGCUCGCUUCUGCAGCAUAUAUACUAAAAUUGGAAUGAUAUAGAGAAGAUUAGCACGGUCCCUGAGCAAGAAUGACAUGCAAAUUUGUGAAGUAUUCCACAUUUUU